rnacentral:rRNA from 1 species
UACGGAGGGUGCGAGCGUUGUCCGGAAUCACUGGCGUAAAGGGCGCGUAGGCGGCCUGAUAAGUAGGGGUGGAAAUCUUGCGGCUUAACCGCAAGGCUGCCUUCUAAACUGUCAGGCUAGAGCACAGUAGAGGCAGGUGGAAUUCCCGGUGUAGCGGUGGAAUGCGUAGAGAUCGGAAGACCACCAGUGGCGAAGGCGGCUUGCCAGAAUGCGCUCGACGGUGAGGAUGAAGCUGGGGAGCAACCGG